UACAGAGGUCUCGAGCGUUUGUUCGGAUUCAUUGGGCGUAAAGGGUGCGUAGGUGGCGCUGUAAGUCAGGUGUGAAAUUUCGGAGCUUAACUCCGAAACUGCAUUUGAUACUGCGGUGCUUGAGGACUGGAGAGGAGACUGGAAUUUACGGUGUAGCAGUGAAAUGCGUAGAGAUCGUAAGGAAGACCAGUGGCGAAGGCGGGUCUCUGGACAGUUACUGACACUGGAGGCACGAAGGCCAGGGGAGCAAACGGG
rnacentral:rRNA from 1 species